UACGGGGGGAGCAAGCGUUGUUCGGAUUUACUGGGCGUAAAGGGCGCGUAGGCGGUCAGCACAAGUCAGUUGUGAAAUCUCCGGGCUUAACUCGGAAAGGUCAACUGAUACUGUGCGACUAGAGUGCAGAAGGGGCAACUGGAAUUCUCGGUGUAGCGGUGAAAUGCGUAGAUAUCGAGAGGAACACCUGCGGCGAAGGCGGGUUGCUGGGCUGACACUGACACUGAUGCGCGAAAGCCAGGGGAGCGAACGGG
rnacentral:rRNA from 1 species